rnacentral:tRNA from 1 species
AGGGCAGUAGCUCAGUGGUAGAGUGCUCCCGCUUCCUACGCGGGAAGACCGGGGUUCGAUUCCCGGCUGCUUUC